UCCCUGGUGGUCCAGUGGCUAAGACGCUGUAUUCCCAAUGCAGAGGACCUGGGUUCGAUCCCUAGUCAGGGAA